GGAAAGGAGUGAUAGCUGGGACGACAUAUUUUUGAGGAGAAUUUGGUUAGAAUAAUUUUUUCUUUCCUAAAAUUAUGUUCCUAAGGGGACAGAUGUCGAACACAAUUUCCUAGACAACUGGUUCAGAAGUAUAAACUAGAAGAACAACAAUUAAUACAAAUUAAGUUGUACAAGAUGAUGGAGUAGAAAAGCAAUAAAUAACAAAACCAAUUCGAUGCAAACAUCACCCGCGUU
rnacentral:lncRNA from 1 species